GACGAACGCUGGCGGCGUGCCUAAUACAUGCAAGUAGAACGCUGAAGAGAGGAGCUUGCUCUUCUUGGAUGGGUUGCGAACGGGUGAGUAUCGCGUAGGUAACCUGCCUUGUAGCGGGGGAUAACUAUUGGAAACGAUAGCUAAUACCGCAUAACAAUGGAUGACACAUGUCAUUUAUUUGAAAGGGGCAAUUGCUCCACUACAAGAUGGACCUGCGUUGUAUUAGCUAGUAGGUGAGGUAACGGCUCACCUAGGCGACGAUACAUAGCCGACCUGAGAGGGUGAUCGGCCACACUGGGACUGAGACACGGCCCAGACUCCUACGGGAGGCAGCAGUAGGGAAUCUUCGGCAAUGGGGGCAACCCUGACCGAGCAACGCCGCGUGAGUGAAGAAGGUUUUCGGAUCGUAAGCUCUGUUGUAAGUCAAGAACGAGUGUGAGAGUGGAAAGUUCACACUGUGACGGUAGCUUACCAGAAAGGGACGGCUAACUACGUGCCAGCAGCCGCGGUAAUACGUAGGUCCCGAGCGUUGUCCGGAUUUAUUGGGCGUAAAGCGAGCGCAGGCGGUUUGAUAAGUCUGAAGUUAAAGGCUGUGGCUCAACCAUAGUUCGCUUUGGAAACUGUCAAACUUGAGUGCAGAAGGGGAGAGUGGAAUUCCAUGUGUAGCGGUGAAAUGCGUAGAUAUAUGGAGGAACACCGGUGGCGAAAGCGGCUCUCUGGUCUGUAACUGACGCUGAGGCUCGAAAGCGUGGGGAGCGAACAGGAUUAGAUACCCUGGUAGUCCACGCCGUAAACGAUGAGUGCUAGGUGUUGGAUCCUUUCCGGGAUUCAGUGCCGCAGCUAACGCAUUAAGCACUC
rnacentral:rRNA from 1 species